GGAACAAAAUAAAAAAAGACAGAACAGUGAAAGGUAAUAAUGGUAAAAUUCGGUUAAACAACAAAGAAAUUAAAUUUAGUGAAAACUUUUUUAAAUCAUUGAUUCGAGAUUCUUCGGAGGAAUUAGGGUUGCAAAUUGAU
rnacentral:sRNA from 1 species